rnacentral:lncRNA from 1 species
CCCACAGCAAUUAUGCUUCUCUCCCUAGUGGAGGAACAACUUGCAUAAGAAUAAUAAGUUCUUCCCCCAGGCAUCCUUUUCUCUUCACCCUGUCAGCAGUUAACACAGCCCAGCAUCUAAGCUGUCUCAUCCUUUUCUCUACCUUGUCAGCAGGCUUCCCAAAAUCAAACUUCAGUUUCAAAAUUGCCUUUCCUGACGCCAGGCUUUUCCGAUGCUUCAGAAGGGCCUCUGGAGUAUCCAGAAAAGAGGUCUGAUAACUUUGAAGAUUAUGACACUGGAAUAAAGGGAAAUGUACAGAAUUCAUGAAGAGCUAAAAUGUUCAUGAAUAUCAAGGAAAAGAAGAGCUAACUGAAUGAAUUCAGAAA